GAGAGCAACGGCAAAGCCUCCCCUCUUGAUUCAAGUCUGAAUGCUGAUAGCACGUGAGGGAAAUGGACACCAAAGCUUUCUCUGCCUGGGACAUUUAUAUCCUGAAGACUGCUCUCCCACAGAAGCUGCUCCUAUGGAGAUUAGUAAGCAUGCUGAUUCUUCGGGGGAGCUGCGCUUCUCCAUCAGAAGCCCAAGUCCACCUUAUUCCAGCGUUUCUCUACAUUCCUCUGUGUCUUCCCCGUCUCACGGUCCAGUCAGUUUAGCUGGUGGCAUGUGAAACUUUAAGGUAUGUCUUUAAAAGUCUCUGUGUUUCCUUAAUGUGUCCCUAUUCAUCUCUGAUAGCAUCAAUUUGGGUAUUUCUUUUAUUUGCCAAUCUCGUUUCUCUAAGAACCAAUUAUUUGCUUUUUUGAUUCAUUGUACCCUUUUCCAUCCCUAUUUCAUUUAUUUAUACCCUGGUCUUCCUUUUUGCCAACCCUAUUGCUCUGGGAAAUGGUUCUUUCCAGUGCCUUAAGGUGCAUCAUGAGGGUUGGUUUGUUCGUUUUUUCAGACAGCGUUUCUCCUUGUAGCCCAAACUGUCCUGGAACUCAGACUUUCCGCAUCUCUGGCUCCAGGGUGCUGGGAUUAAAGGCACGCACCACUCACACCUGGCUUUUGUUUUGUUUUAUGUAGAUAUUUAGUUAUAAACUUGACUCCACCACUGCCUUCGCUGUAUCCCAGAUUUUCAUAACUGUUCAUUUUCUUUCAGAUCUCAGGCUUUCAUUUCUUCUUUGAUGACUUACACACCAUUGAAUGGAAUGUUGUUUACUCUCCACGAGUUUGUUAUUUUCUGUAGUUGCUCUUGCUGUUUUAAGUCUUUACUCCGCUAUGAUCAGAUCAGAUGCAGGGCAUUAAUUUCCCUGCACUGAGGCUUGGUUUGUGACCUAAUAAGUGAUCAAUUUUAGAUGGUUCCUCGUGCUGGGGAGAGGGCAAAUUCUUUGGUGGCUAGGUAGACUGUGCUGUAGAUGUCUGUAAAGUCCAUUUGAUCUAUAAUCCCAACGUUUCUAUAUUGAUUUUUUUCCCGUCAUCUAGUAAGUGAGGUAUUGUAUUGCUGUUAGGAUGAAUUUGUGACUUUAAAUAUUACAGCAUUUGUUUUUAGGAAACUGGGUGAGCCUGUGUUUGCUGAGUAUGUAUUUAAUUUCCUCUUGAUGGAUUAUUUCCUUGAUCAGUAUGAAGUAUCUCCAUCUCUUCUGACAAGUCUAUUUUGUCAGAAAUUGGAAUAGCAAUGCUGCCUGUUCCUGAGUCUGUUUGCAUGGAAUAGUUUUGUCCAUCAUUUUAUCCUAUAAGUGUGUUUAUCUUUGAUAGUGAGAAAUGUUCCUUUGAAGCAAAAAUUACAAAAAGAUAUUUUCUAAUUCAAGGUUCUAUUUCCUUCUCUCUUGAGAGCGCCCACAUCAUUUAAUAUCCCAUGAUUAUGAAAGGUGUAUGCUGAUUCCUGUCAUUUUGUUUGCUGAUUUGUGGCAUUUGGGUAGUUCUUAGCUCGCCCCUGCUAAGCAUUAUUUAUUUUAUUCUUCUUGUAGACUCUUGAGUAUAUUCAUCUUUCUCUCCAGUCUUAGGUAUUUCCUCCAGCAUUUUCUGUAGGGAUGAAGUGGCAGCCAUGAAUUCUGUAGCCCACUUUUAUCAUGGAAACUGCCAUCCUCACUCCAACAGUUUUGCUGGGUGUGUCAGGCCAUUACCAGUUGUGUUCUUUCAGAAUCUGAAAUGCACCACUCUCAAUGUUUAGGUUGUUUUAGCCACCAUUCUAAAUACUUGGUUAUUUUAAAUAAGACUGGUGAACAGUCUGUAAUUAUUUAAUAGUACCACUACUUGCCUGGCCCUCUAAAGUAGUCACAGACCACCCUAAAACAACAAAAACCAAAAAAACCUCAUUUACCAGGGGAAGUAGGAGACCUUUCUUCAUGCAGUUUUCCCCACUUAGUGAUUUGUAACACUCUCUUUGCAUAGGAGGCCCUUCCAGCCUCUGUGUAGUCCUGUGGUAGAAUCAUAGGUAUACCCUGCAAGGUGAAUUUAAGACUCAUGCACUAUAUACUCCAGUGCAACUUAAGGCUUAUUUCUCAAGGAUGUCCCCAAAGGAACCACACAGUCAGUGUCCCUAUUCUAGGUAAGAUCAUCUCUUAUUCCUAUAGGACUCCUCCUCCUGCUGCUGCUGCAAACAAGGAACUCUGCCUCAAGCCUAUAGUGCCUGUGCUUUUCUCCAACGGGCCCCGAACUCAGUGAAGUAAUCCAUUGUCAGUCAUGUGCGGGAAAUAUACUGCAGGGGCAAAAUGAAUGUUCAGCACUCGAAAGGCUAUGAAUUAAAUUCUCAGCACCAUAAGAAGACCAAACCAAACAAACAGAAAGGAAGGAAGGAAGGAAGGAAGGAAGAGAGAGAGAGAGAGAGGGAGAGAGAGAGAGAGAGAGAGAGAGAGAGAGACCAUUGGGGGCAGUCUUUAACUAUAUGCCCUCUAAGCCCACAAGGCUCCAAUGGAUAGCUCCUGACCCGGGCACAAAUAGCUGUGAUUAACUUUGAUGAAUUACCAAACAAAAGUAACAGAUGCGAACUUGAGAGAGAAAUCUGUGAGGAUGGGGAAGAGAGAAGAGGCACAGGGAUGGUAGGGGAGAGAGUGGCCAGCCUGCACAUGUGAGACUGUAAAUACCACAACAAAAAUAAAAUCAUGCCUACAGGUGUCACUCGGUGGUAGACAUGCUAUCAUGUGCCAGACCUUGGAUUCCGUAAGAAAGACAGGGAAGGAAAGAGGGAAAAAUAGAAGGAACCAUACAUAUCUCUCCCAAACAGGGCAUGAAGCUGCACCUGGAGGUCCUGGCAUCUAGUUCCAAGGAGACACUCUAGGAAAGGGACACAUCAACAGACAAUCUGUACAAAGGCCUGGUCCCUCGCCCCACCCCCAGCUCCCCCAGCAUGUUCUCGGUAAGGGAGAAGCUGGAAAGCCCUGCCUGUGGCUCAGACAUCAUCUCUCCAGGUUGGUUCUUCUCCCUGCCACCCCUCCCCCAGCUCCACGGUAGGAAAGGAGGCCAGCAGGGCUUUCUCAGGCAUGUCUUUAUUCCUCUGCGCUUUGGUCUCCUGCUUAGGUUCGCACACGUGUGCUGCAUCUCACUGCAUCUCCUGGUGUGGCUGAGCUUUACCUGCUCUUAUUGCUGGACUCUCUACUUCCAAGAGCACAACAGAGAGCAUCUCUGAAUCUACAGACGAAAUGGCUACAACAAGGUGAUCGGCAACUAAGUCUGCCAGGAUGGGCACAACCCUAUACGGCUCCAGUGGCUGUCUAGAGACAUGACUAGUAAAGCUAAAGAAACCAUCACCACACCAAAAAAAAAAAAAAAAAAAAAAAAAAAAAAAAAAAA